rnacentral:rRNA from 1 species
GACGAACGCUGGCGGCGGGCUUAACACAUGCAAGUCGAACGGAAAGGCCCUGCUUUUGGGGGGUGCUCGAGUGGCGAACGGGGGAGUUACACGUGAGUAACCUGCCCUUCACUUUGGGAUAACCUCAGGAAACUGGGGCUAAUACCGGAUAGGAGCUCCCGCUGCAUGGUGGGGGUUGGACAGUUUCGGCGGUUGGGGAUGGACUCGCGGCUUAUCAGCUUGUUGGUGGGGUAGUGGCUUACCAAGGCUUUGACGGGUAGCCGGCCUGAGAGGGUGACCGGCCAAAUUGGGACUGGGAUGCGGCACAGACUCCUACGGGAGGCAGGGGUGGGGAAUGGUGCACAAUGGGCGGAAGCAUGAUGCAGCGACGCCGCGUGGGGGAUAACGGCCUUCGGGUUGUAAACCGCUUUCGCCUGUGACGAAGCGUGAGUGACGGUAAUGGGUAAAGAAGCACCGGCUAACUACGUG